CGAGUGGAACAGGUGAUCGCGGCUGUCAUAUGACAGGUGAGGAAAGUCCGGGCUUCACAGGGCAGGAUGCCGGAUAACGUCCGGUAAAGGCGACUUUAAGGAUAGUGCAACAGAAAUAAACCGCUGCAGAUGAUGCAGUAAGGGUGGAAAGGCAGUGUAAGAGACUACCGCCUGGCUGGUAACAGACAGGGGCAUAUGUAAACCCCAUCCGAAGCAAGACCGAAACAAAGCGAUGACGUGGCCCGCCAGCUUUAGGUAGGUCGCUUGAGGCUGUUGGCGACAGCAGUCCUAGAUAGAUGAUCACUCAACGACAUAACCCGGCUUAUCGUUUCGCUCGUUUU
rnacentral:RNase_P_RNA from 1 species